rnacentral:rRNA from 1 species
GACAGAGGGUGCAAACGUUUGUUCGGAUUUACUGGGCGUAAAGCGCGUGUAGGCGGCUUCGUAAGUUGGAUGUGAAAUCCCACGGCUCAACCGUGGACGUGCAUCCAAAACUACGUCGCUGGAGUCUCGGAGAGGAAGGUGGAAUGCUUGGUGUAGAGGUGAAAUUCGUAGAUAUCAAGCAGAACACCUGCGGCGAAGGCGGCCUUCUGGACGAUGACUGACGCUGAGACGCGAAAGCGUGGGGAGCAAACAGG